AUCAAUGGCUAAAGAAAUUCUUAAGUGUGAUGAUUGGGUGUUCAUGCUCCAGGCAUGACAUGUGCCUCCUUUAAACCUUGUUACGACCUCGACACAUUACCCAUCUGAUG
rnacentral:snoRNA from 1 species